UACUGUUUUUUAUUCUUUUUCUUAUUUGUUGUAUGUACUUUCAAUAAUUUUUUCGCUGAAUUAUUUUUCGAUGAUGGUGUUGUAGUAAUCUAUCACAAAUUUAUUAAUUUAAGUCAUUUUAAUAUGUCGAAAUUUAGUUCAAUUCGUCAUUUACCGGUCUUGAUCUGGCCUAACUGGUAUACUAAUUUUUCAAUAUUCAUUUUUGUCUAAUUGUGAUAGUAAUUCAACAAAAAAUCACAGCCCCCUGAUUUCCUCCACUUUUACAGGAGAAAAAAAUAGUCAGAAUCUUUCACCUCAAGUCAUUAAAUGUAAUUAUUUCCACAAAAUUAUGCACAUAAAAAUCCAUUAGAGAAAAUAAUUAUAUAGAUAUUGCAUGUCACAGACAAAUUAUGGCAAAUUUUAUACGCAUUUGAUCAAGGACAAAUUAAGAAACCAAAUGAAAAAUGAACAAGUGGUUAAUUAUACAUUGCCUAUUUUUUUAUUUUUUUUUAGUCCUUUUUUUGCUAAUUUUAACAAUGAAGGUAAUAUAAAAUAGAUGCCUAAAAAUUAAAAUAUAAAGAUAGAUGUUGUCUAUAUAUACUUAUAAUGGGAAUGAGGAUGUGGUAGAAGUCACACAUCAUGGAAAUUUGUCUUCUUUGUAUUUUAUUUGGAAAGUAGAGCUGCUACGACAUUUAUUUGGUGACAUUUGAAAUAAAUAUCAUUAAAAAAUAGAAAUUUUGAAGAGUUUCUCAAUUUGUAUUUGAUUGGUUUUUACGAGAUAAAAAACAUACGACCCCAUUCAAACAAGUGAUAUCAAACAAUGGCUAACGUUCUUCUUUUUAACCGUGGCGUAUAUGAGUAAGAGAAAUUUAAAUUAUUAUUUGUGACAGAUUGAUAAGUAUUUUUCCAUAUACUAUUCAAUUUAAGUCUAUUUGAAUAUGAAAUUAUUACUCAUUUUACUCCAAUAUUGAUCUUUUUGAUAUAAAAAUAGAUUAUAUCAAAUUUUAAUAUGGAUAAC